UACGAAGGGUGCAAGCGUUAAUCGGAAUUACUGGGCGUAAAGGGUGCGUAGGCGGUUAUUUAAGUCUGCCGUGAAAUCCCCGGGCUCAACCUGGGAAUGGCAGUGGAUACUGGGAGGCUAGAGUGUGUCAGAGGAUGGUGGAAUUCCCGGUGUAGCGGUGAAAUGCGUAGAGAUCGGGAGGAACAUCAGUGGCGAAGGCGGCCAUCUGGGACAACACUGACGCUGAGGCACGAAAGCGUGGGGAGCAAACAGG
rnacentral:rRNA from 1 species